rnacentral:RNase_MRP_RNA from 12 species
UUGAUCUUAGAGAGAAAGUCCCCAGGCCCUUUGGCCGUACCAAGGCAGCGAAGAGAACCAAAGUGUUGAACUCCAAGGGGGGUAAAUAAAUAUUGCCGCGUGUUAUGAGCGAUAAGUUGUUGUGAUGAAGGUGUUAUGAGAUAUAAGUUGUUAUGCAGAUGUAUAGUUU